GGCCGAGUGCACGUUAGUUUGAAAACGCAUGGGAUUUUAAUUACAGUCACCCAUACGUUAUUAGUUUUUGGUGAUUAAAUUGGGGAUUCCGCAUUAUGGUGUGGACGGAUUCGCCCUAACUCCAAUAGUAAGGAGGAUAUAUGUAGUUGCGUUUUUUGCUUCUUCUUUUUUUCAGAUAUUUGCUAUACAAUUCUCCAUCGAUUAUUGUUGCACAUUCAUCUAUUUAAAGCAGGUUUUAAAUUAUGGGACCCCAGUUUAAGGACCAGUUCGAAUUCAAAGUAUACUUCCGGAUACGUUUUACAUACGCAUGUGGGUAAAUUCACCAUCGGUGUGCUUGUGCGAACACCCUUUUGACAAAAUUUCCAGCUGCUAAAGUGCCGCCAUUCCUGAAAUUGGGUCACGGAGUCAUACACCAGGUCCAAUACCACGGAUUUAAUCGUUAGCCAAGAAACAACUAGAACUAACUAUUUUUGCCUUUUUCGAGUUACAUGUUUAAGUAACUUUCUUAACGUCAUUAACUACCUAUUCAUUAUCUUCAGAUCUCUGUUCAGUGAUUAGACCCGCGUAUGCUAUUGGCACCCACUUCUUUCUGAGGCGGUUGGGCGAUUAAUUAUCGUACUUGUGACAUAAGCUUACAGAAGGCGAGGUCCUUCAGGUAUUGUUCAGUGCAUUUCAUUCUGAGCUUUGCGGCUUGGAGUUUUCUUUUGUUUGUUGGUUUAUGGAUAGGAGAAUAAGGUAAGCGUUGCCUUUUUAGGUUUUGCUUAUUUUUGGCCUAUACGUGCGCAUUUGUGCGUCAACAAUUAUUUCCAUAGCUUUCUCUUCCAGAAUUUUCUAGACUUGCCUAGCUCUGUAAAAGAAAGGGGCGGAAAGGGACUAUAAUGAUUUAAAUUUUUCCAGGUUCGCACACCUCCAAUCAAGAAUUAAUUAAGAAGGUUCCACAAAUAAAUUGAAACUCCGGGCAAAAAUUCACACAUAUUGGGCCAAGUACAAGUAAAACAUAUAAGGCAACACUUACCUUGAAUAAUAAGUGAGCUCAGUUCUCGGAUCCCAAAACCGGCAAAAAAAAGAAACCCUCCCAAGCCGCAGAACUCGGUACACAAUUAAUUGACCAAUACCUGAAGGGCCUCGGUUUACUCGUAGUAAGCUUUAUCACAGGUACGGUACUUCGGCCAACGGCUUCAGAAGGAAGUGGCAGACUCCAAUAGCAUUCGCGUGACUAACUCGAUCUUAACUUAACCGAAAUCGCAAAGAUAGGUAAUAACAAAUUACUUGAAUGUGAUAGCAUAUAACCCAGAAGGGGCAAAAUAGUUACUAGAUAAUACGCCAAAAUGUUACGGAAGUUGUCUCUUUGUUGCGGAAAAGGCCCGACAUCAAAUUUCGUUCAUGACCCGGUGACCCAAUUCCAAAAAAUGGCCGCUCGUUAUCAGCAGGUGGAAUAUAUGUUAAAGGCGAUGGCACUCGCAAUGGUGAGGUUAAUCCAAGGUUGCCCAAAUUUGUAUGUCGAACAACUUGAACCCUACAAUUAAAACCCUAAAAGAAAAAAAAGGGAAAAGAUGGAAAAUGAGCUGGCACAAAGGGAACAGAAUGCACAAAUAUAACAGAGGGUGAAGAUAGAGAGCGCACAAGGAAGUAGUAUAUAAAAAAUAUUUGUAGGGAGUAAGUUUUUUUAUAAUUUACACAAAAAAGAUUAAAAUAAUGGCAAGAUUCAGAUGUGGAAAUGAGAAGAGAGUGAAGGAGAAAUGACAAGACCCGUGAAAAAAGUAGCAACUAUAUUGAGUAGCGUUUUUUAUUACGAUGUACGGCACACAAAAGUCCGAAACUGUUAGUUUCAACAAGAUGGUGUACUCGCACACAAGCCCUAAUCGUGGAAAGCGGAAAAAAUCGAUUUGCGCAUACUACAAAAAAAAAAUCUGGAUGUCAUUUAGACAUUUUCUGGUUUAUUCUUUUCUUAUUUUAUUAAUAAUUAGU